GCCCUUGGCCUCACCCACAGGUAAAGAUGCAGUGCCGGAAAGGCAUCCCGUCUGCCCUGCGCGCCCGAUGCUGGCCCCUGUUGUGUGGGGCCCAUGUGUGCCAGAAGAACAGCCCUGGCACCUAUCAGAGCUGGCAGAGGCCCCUGGAGACCCACAGUGGAUGGAGACCAUUGGCAGGGACCUGCACCGUCAAUUCCCUCUGCACGAGAUGUUUGUGUCGCCUCAGGGCCACGGCAGCAGGGGCUCCUGCAGGUGCUCAAGGCCUACACCCUGUAUCGACCGGAGCAGGGCUACUGCCAGGCCCAGGGGCCCGUGGCUGCUGUGCUGCUCAUGCACCUGCCCCCAGAGAGGCCUUCUGGUGCCUGGUGCAGAUCUGUGAGGUCUACCUCCCUGGGUACUACGGGCCCCACAUGAGGCUGUGCGGCUGGACGCCGAGGUGUUCAUGGCCCUGCUGCGGCGGCUGCUUCCGCACGUGCACAAGCACCUGCAGCAGGUGGGCGUCGGACCCCUGCUGUACCUGCCCGAGUGGUUCCUGUGCCUCUUCGCCCGCUCCCUGCCCUU
rnacentral:lncRNA from 1 species